UUUCCCUCAGGAUAGCUAGAGCUCAUCUACAGAGUUUCAUCAGGUAAAGCAAAUGAUUAGAAGCCUUGGGGGCAAAAUGCCCUUGACCUAUUCUCAAACUUCAAAUAGGUGAGAUGCUCCAUUGAACCCUUCCAAGUAGGGCCAUUCUUGGUUAAGCAGAUCAA
rnacentral:ncRNA from 1 species